UCGAGCGGCAGCCGGAAAGUAGCUUGCUACUUUUGCCGGCGAGCGGCGGACGGGUGAGUAAUGCCUGGGAAAUUGCCCAGUCGAGGGGGAUAACAGUUGGAAACGACUGCUAAUACCGCAUACGCCCUACGGGGGAAAGCAGGGGACCUUCGGGCCUUGCGCGAUUGGAUAUGCCCAGGUGGGAUUAGCUAGUUGGUGAGGUAAUGGCUCACCAAGGCGACGAUCCCUAGCUGGUCUGAGAGGAUGAUCAGCCACACUGGAACUGAGACACGGUCCAGACUCCUACGGGAGGCAGCAGUGGGGAAUAUUGCACAAUGGGGGAAACCCUGAUGCAGCCAUGCCGCGUGUGUGAAGAAGGCCUUCGGGUUGUAAAGCACUUUCAGCGAGGAGGAAAGGUCAGUAGCUAAUAUCUGCUGGCUGUGACGUUACUCGCAGAAGAAGCACCGGCUAACUCCGUGCCAGCAGCCGCGGUAAUACCGAGGGUGCAAGCGUUAAUCGGAAUUACUGGGCGUAAAGCGCACGCAGGCGGUUGGAUAAGUUAGAUGUGAAAGCCCCGGGCUCAACCUGGGAAUUGCAUUUAAAACUGUCCAGCUAGAGUCUUGUAGAGGGGGGUAGAAUUCCCGUGUAGCGGUGAAAUGCGUAGAGAUCUGGAGGAAUACCGGUGGGCGAAAGCGGGCCCCUGGACAAAAACUGACGCUCAAGUGCGAAACGUGGGGAGCAAACAGGAUUAGAUACCCUGGUAGUCCACGCCCUAAAACCAUGUCCAUUUGGAAGCUGUGUCCUUAGACGUGGCUUUCCGGAGCUUAAGCCGUUAAACCACCCCUGGGGAUACGGCCCCAGGUUAAAUCAAAUGAAUGCCGGGGCCCCCCAACGGGGAACAUGUGUUUAUUCAUGCACCCAAAACCUUUCUGGCCUUGAAAUUUUGAAACUGAAAAACCGGAGGCCUCGGAAAAAACAGGGUCCUGGUUCCCCCCCGUGUGGAAUUGGUAACCAAAAGGACCUUUUUUUCCCCUAUGUGGACCAGGAACCGGUUAACAGAGGGGGAAUCAUUUGCUUCCCGGCCCCUUUUGGGAAGGGCGUCUUUAAACAAAACCCCGGGGGCCCCCCCCAAUUUUAAAAUGGGUUCCCCCCCCCCCCGGGGGAAAAUGGGGGGUUGGGGGGAAACCNNNNNUUAAACGCUUAAGUUUGUUUUUUACGUUUC
rnacentral:rRNA from 1 species